UAAUACGGCCAUACAACCCUGAAUGCGUCAAUCUUGGAAACUAAGCAGGAUCGAGCCUGUUUAGUACUUAGAUGGGAGACCGUCUGGGAAUACUGGGUGCUGUAGGCU
rnacentral:rRNA from 1 species